rnacentral:rRNA from 1 species
GACGAACGCUGGCGGCGUGCUUAACACAUGCAAGUCGAACGGAAAGGCCCUGCUUUUGUGGGGUGCUCGAGUGGCGAACGGGUGAGUAACACGUGAGUAACCUGCCCUUGACUUUGGGAUAACUUCAGGAAACUGGGGCUAAUACCGGAUAGGAGCUCCUGCUGCAUGGUGGGGGUUGGAAAGUUUCGGCGGUUGGGGAUGGACUCGCGGCUUAUCAGCUUGUUGGUGGGGUAGUGGCUUACCAAGGCUUUGACGGGUAGGCGGCCUGGGAGGGUGACCGGCCACAUUGGGACUGAGAUACGGCCCAGACUCCUACGGGAGGCAGCAGUGGGGAAUAUUGCACAAUGGGCGGAAGCCUGAUGCAGCAACGCCGCGUGCGGGAUGACGGCCUUCGGGUUGUAAACCGCUUUCGCCUGUGACGAAGCGUGAGUGACGGUAAUGGGUAAAGAAGCACCGGCUAACUACGUG